GUGUGUGUCUGGAAAGUGAGAAAAUGUGAAUCAGAACAACCUAAUAUUCAAAUGAAAUAAUUUAACAUUUUGUAAGAUUGUAAUUAGCCAUCGGUCUGAUGGGGAAUAGUUUUAGCAGAAAUGUCACAUCUAUUCACAAAUGAACCUCCUUUUUUACUCACGCUGUUCCCUGAGCUGUCACACGUACGACUGUUUUGCACGACAUGCAACUUUGCAGCAAAGGUUCAACCUGUUUAUACAUUCAAACAUAAUUAUGAGUGUACAUAGCUAAAUACUGAAUAAAAUUUAUACCAAAAUAUUAAUUGUAAAAAUUAAAAGUCACCUCAUCAAAUUCACAUAAGCACCAUUCAUAUACCUUUGAAUUAUUUUAGAAGUUGUUGAAAUUAGAAAUUCGUGACAUUCAUCAUUCUUUUUCUUUUUUAAGGAAAAGUACCACUAACUUUUUCAUUCAUGCUUUUCAUAUUUUUUUCUUGGUGGCUUUCAAACCUGCAAACUGAAUGAUUUUCACCAGAUAGAGCUACUUUAGAACCAUAUUUAAUUUUUAUUAUUUUACUCUUUCCAAGUAUUUUUACAGUAAUUAUUUAAUCAAAAAUAGUCUAUUUUAUGGAGUACUAUGGUUUAGGUAAAUGGCUGCAGAUUUUGUCCUUUUUUAAUGCAAACUAGUGACUAUAGAUGGCUACAUAGAGGAUCUCCACAAGAUGUUUAUAUCACCUAUAAUUUAAAAAGGUGAUGGCUACAGUUUCUGGGCUGUUUAUUUAUUGCAACAUUUAUAGCCACAGAAUUAAAACGCCAGAUACCAGAAAACUGAGACAGAUGUUCAUGCGUUCAUAGGUUAAACAGGUCAGGCUAAGCAGGCAUAGGAAUUUUUUUAAAAACAUGACACUGACGACUGUUUCAUUGUCCUGCUUGAACCCUGGCUUAUAAUGAACUUGGUCUUUGUUCCGAAUAAGUAAAGACUUGGUCUGACUACAACCUGGUAGCCUCGAUCAUUUCUGACAUUGUUUGAAACACAAAUAAUUGGCCCUAAACUACUCUGUCACCCAAAACACAUUCUGAAAAUGUUUUGGUAUAAAUGGCCUUUUUUAUGCCACUGCAGACACAAGGUAGCCACUCUUCUGCUCUGACUAGUUGGACAAGAUACCUAUAAGGACUUUUUAAAUCAGAGACUGGAGUUGUUGGGUUUAAACAAUGUUUUUCACAUAGUUAACAUGCUGCAAAAGUUUCGUAAACAUACCUUCUGGCAUACUCAGUAGAAAACCACAAGCAAAACACAUCUGCGUUAACAUAUGUUAACUACAAUAUUUUAUUAGACUCUAACCACAGAGGCAAACAGGAUUAGGUUUAGGCUAAAACCACUUUAUUUAGUUUACAUGAAUUUAUUUGAUUUUAACAGAUAACAGGGAUUCCUGUUGACAUUUAGGACAGCUUUAAAACAAACAACAACCUGGAUAAAGUCAGAGACUCACCAAAGAUGUCUAAGUCUACAGGUGAUACCAAAGUCACCCAAGAUAAAAUAAGCAUUUUGUCCACAGCUUUUUGGACAAAAUUUGGAGUCCUUUUAGGGAUUAACUUUCACCAGACCUUCUGCUCAAAUAUCUCCUAAAAUUUAUUGAAUGCAUACUAAGUGUUGCAUGUUAAAUUGCUGUCAAGAUUUCCUUAAGAGUAUAUAUUCUUUAGCUACAAUCGUGUGUAUAAUAAACCAUGAGUCUAAUGUACCAUAAACCCAUAAUUAUAUCGAUUGGAAAUAAACGUUUAACAGCUGAAUUUUCUGACUUUGUACCAUACACUUGAACACUAAAUGACAUUACCAUUAAUGAUGCUUCUUUCUUUGGAUCAAGUCAAGUAGCAAAAUUAAAUACAGAAUAAUCUUGUAGUUUAUAUUCCUGAAACAAUACCUGCACAAACCUGACUAUGCAAGUUAAGGCCUGAACAUUCUCCAAAAGAACAGAGGAAUUAAUUCAACUCAAGGCUACAUAAAUAAAGUUCUUGUUAGCAAAGACAAGUCAUAAUUAUGAAGAAGUAAAGUGGGCCAAACACAAGAAAAAAAUGUCCUGCCCAGAAUGUGCAUCAAGAACAGAAAGACGGCGUUUGGUUUUUGCAGCCUGGGAGAGAAGGACACCUUUCUCUGUUCUUUCAGAGUAUGUAUUGGCUUUUAGUCUAAACAACAGAGCCUAAA